rnacentral:rRNA from 1 species
UACGUAGGGGGCAAGCGUUGUCCGGAUUUAUUGGGCGUAAAGGGCGCGUAGGCGGCAAUUCAAGUCAUCUGUGAAAUCUCCGGGCUUAACCCGGAACGGUCAGGUGAUACUGUUUUGCUAGAGUGCGGAAGGGGCAAUCGGAAUUCUCGGUGUAGCGGUGAAAUGCGUAGAUAUCGAGAGGAACACCAGAGGUGAAGACGGGUUGCUGGGCCGACACUGACGCUGACAGCGCGAAAGCCAGGGGAGCAAACGGG